GUCUGUGUGGCGUAGUGGUUUGAGUACUGGACUAUAAUUCUGGAGACCAGGGUUUGAAUCCAUGCUGAGCUA